AUUGAACGCUGGCGGCAUGCUUUACACAUGCAAGUCGAACGGUAGCGCGGGCUUCGGCCUGGCGGCGAGUGGCGAACGGGUGAGUAAUGCAUCGGAACGUGCCCAGUAGUGGGGGAUAGCGCGGCGAAAGCCGGAUUAAUACCGCAUACGACCUGAGGGUGAAAGCGGGGGACCGUAAGGCCUCGCGCUAUUGGAUGGGCCGAUGUCGGAUUAGCUAGUUGGUGGGGUAAAGGCCUACCAAGGCGACGAUCCGUAGCUGGUCUGAGAGGAAGACCAGCCACACUGGAACUGAGACACGGCCCAGACUCCUACGGGAGGCAGCAGUGGGGAAUUUUGGACAAUGGGGGCAAGCCUGAUCCAGCCAUGCCGCGUGCGGGAAGAAGGCCUUCGGGUUGUAAAGCGCUUUUGUUCGGGAAGAAAUCCUCUGAGCUAAUACCCCGGGGGGAUGACGGUACCGGAAGAAUAAGCACCGGCUAACUACGUG
rnacentral:rRNA from 1 species